ensembl:lncRNA novel transcript
AGCAAUCAGCGAGACUCCGUGGGCGUAGGACCCUCCGAGCCAGGAAAGGGAACUCCCUGACCCCUUGCGCUUCCCGAGUGAGGCAAUGCCUCACCCUGCUUCCACACGGUGCGCGCACCCACUGACCUGCGCCCACUGUCUGGCACUCCCUAGUGAGAUGAACCCAGUACCUCAGAUGGAAAUGCAGAAAUCACCUGUCUUCUGCGUGGCUCACGCUGGGAGCUGUAGACCUGAGCUGUUCCUAUUCGGCCAUCUUGGCUCCUCCCCACCCUAGUCUGAAACAGAGGUCAACCCACACCUUGAUUUCAACUUGGCAAAACCUUAAGCAGAGGACUCAGCGAACAUGUGCUUGGACUUCUGAACUACAGAACUGUGAGAUAAUAAAUUGGUGUAAUUAUAAGUUGCUAAAUUUGUAGUCAUAUAUUAUCUGAAAUAGAAAACAAGUGCAAUCAUUUAGCACAUUAAUAAGUAUUUACUUUUAUUCAGGAAUUAUGUAACUUUAUUUAGUAUUUGCUUAGUAAUAAUUAUUGUGAGUUUUUGAGCAUGGGAACUAUGUCUUAUUAUCUUUUUUAUGCUCAAUCCCUAUCAGAAGUUGUGUAUUAAAUAAAUAUUUGUCAAACAAAUAAACAAAUGGUGCCU